GAACGGUAACAGGAAGCAGCUUGCUGCUUUGCUGACGAGUGGCGGACGGGUGAGUAAUGUCUGGGAAACUGCCUGAUGGAGGGGGAUAACUACUGGAAACGGUGGCUAAUACCGCAUAACGUCGCAAGACCAAAGAGGGGGACCUUCGGGCCUCUUGCCAUCAGAUGUGCCCAGAUGGGAUUAGCUAGUUGGUGAGGUAACGGCUCACCAAGGCGACGAUCCCUAGCUGGUCUGAGAGGAUGACCAGCCACACUGGAACUGAGACACGGUCCAGACUCCUACGGGAGGCAGCAGUGGGGAAUAUUGCACAAUGGGCGCAAGCCUGAUGCAGCCAUGCCGCGUGUAUGAAGAAGGCCUUCGGGUUGUAAAGUACUUUCAGCGGGGAGGAAGGUGUUGUGGUUAAUAACCGCAGCAAUUGACGUUACCCGCAGAAGAAGCACCGGCUAACUCCGUGCCAGCAGCCGCGGUAAUACGGAGGGUGCAAGCGUUAAUCGGAAUUACUGGGCGUAAAGCGCACGCAGGCGGUCUGUCAAGUCGGAUGUGAAAUCCCCGGGCUCAACCUGGGAACUGCAUUCGAAACUGGCAGGCUUGAGUCUUGUAGAGGGGGGUAGAAUUCCAGGUGUAGCGGUGAAAUGCGUAGAGAUCUGGAGGAAUACCGGUGGCGAAGGCGGCCCCCUGGACAAAGACUGACGCUCAGGUGCGAAAGCGUGGGGAGCAAACAGGAUUAGAUACCCUGGUAGUCCACGCCGUAAACGAUGUCUACUUGGAGGUUGUGCCCUUGAGGCGUGGCUUCCGGAGCUAACGCGUUAAGUAGACCGCCUGGGGAGUACGGCCGCAAGGUUAAAACUCAAAUGAAUUGACGGGGGCCCGCACAAGCGGUGGAGCAUGUGGUUUAAUUCGAUGCAACGCGAAGAACCUUACCUGGUCUUGACAUCCACAGAAGAAUCCAGAGAUGGAUUUGUGCCUUCGGGAACUGUGAGACAGGUGCUGCAUGGCUGUCGUCAGCUCGUGUUGUGAAAUGUUGGGUUAAGUCCCGCAACGAGCGCAACCC
rnacentral:rRNA from 1 species